CACGUAGGGCGCGAGCGUUGUCCGGAAUUAUUGGGCGUAAAGAGCUUGUAGGCGGUCUGUCGCGUCUGCUGUGAAAAUCCGGGGCUCAACCCCGGACUUGCAGUGGGUACGGGCAGACUAGAGUGUGGUAGGGGAGACUGGAAUUCCUGGUGUAGCGGUGAAAUGCGCAGAUAUCAGGAGGAACACCGAUGGCGAAGGCAGGUCUCUGGGCCGCUACUGACGCUGAGAAGCGAAAGCAUGGGGAGCGAACAGG
rnacentral:rRNA from 1 species